rnacentral:rRNA from 1 species
UAGGUAUGUUCUUUAAACCUAAAGAAUUUGGCGGUAAUUUAGUCUAUUUAGAGGAAUUUGUCCCUUAAUCGAUAGUCCUCGUUUUAUCUUGCUUUAUUUUGUAUAAGUUCAGUAUGUAUACCGCCGUUAUAAGUUUAUUUUAUUAGAAUAUUUAAUUUACUUAAUAUAUUAAUAUAUUAUAUUUCAGGUCAAGGUGCAGUUUAUAUUAAAGUGGAGAUGAAUUACAAUAUUUUUUGAACAAACGGAUUUGAAAUUUAAAAAUUUUAAUGAAGGUGGAUUUAAAGGUAAUUUUUUUAAUAGUGUUUAUUUGAUUAUAGCUCUAAAUUAAGCACACAUCGCCCG